CGUGACCCCAAAGUCCACCGCCUGGCAUCGCCGGAGGCUGCAGGAGAUGCAGGCAGAAGCUGCUCAGAGGGGAGAGUCUCUCAAAGUGAGGAGGCCCUCAAUCAUCCGCUGCAGUCAGUGUGGGCAGAGGAAGAUAAAAGAAACUGGACACAAGGUGCUGAGGAAGGAGAGCGGGGAGAGGGUGACCUUUUGUCCUGUGGCAGCCAAAGGACAGAGUCCUGAGGAGUGGCUGUCCUCCCUGAAAUAAGUCCAGCAUGUCUCAGACUUCAGGCUGCAGCUUCUAAUCUCAUCAGAACAGCUCCAUUGUCUUCACGGCAGGAGCCGAUGGCCCUGCAGGGAGCGGGCCUCCCUCUCAGGGACAUCAAAGGAGCUGACACCUGAUUGGAUGAGACAAAAACAGGAGAAGACGUGGAGGUGAGCUGCAGAGUUCCUUCAGUUGUGAUCAGACUGCUUCUGAGGGAGAGAGAGAGGCUGCAUCACAUCUUGGUAUUUGGCUCCAUGUCUGAGAUGGAAGACCCGGUGAAGAGGAAUAGGACUCUGCGGGCCUGGAGAAGGGAGGAGGUCCAUAAAUGGAGGGCUGACAGGAAGUCCUACAUC